UCUUUUGAUAGUAGAUUUCAUUUAGGGUUAUACCAUAAUCAAUUUGUUGAAGGACCGAAAUAACCUAUAUUUCCAUAGAGAUUGUGUGGUAGCUUAAAUUGAACCAUUGUUUUCUGUUUUCGUUCACUCAUGCAAUAUUACAAUUUUUUUCAAUGAGUCGUAUUGACCAAUGUGGAAAAUCUAUGACUUUGCAAUGCCGUAUGAUUCUUCUCUUGCCUUGUGGUUACUUCUUUGCCGAGUAGGCAGUUAAAUCGCCGAAAGAAAUUCUUGGUGAGCUUUCCCACCACUUGUUUGUUGUAAUGUCUUGCUCAAAGUAGAAUUCCUUACUAAUUUGCAGAUUUCCCUCAAAUGAUUAAAUGAUUCUCCCCUAACAUAAAUGUGCCGACAAAAAAUGUUCUUUUCCACUUCACUACUUUGUAGAUGUUGAGGUAUGGCCUUGGAAGGUAGGGAGAGGCUUAAAAGAUGUAACGACAAUUGAGCUGUCCGUUUAGUGAAUUCGGUACUGCUGUUCCAUGGAAUGUCCAGUGGGAUGUUUGAAUUUUAUGGUUAUUUUUUUUGCCAUGUUGAAUAGUCGAUGCAGUGCAUCAGUAUUUUCCAUCUACUAAAAUUUUGCUUUAUCGUUAUGCAUGCUUGUUGAUGUUCUGCUCGAUUUUGUGUUUGGAUUAUAAAUGUGACGUUUCUAAGCUGUUAAGGUAAAGUUGCCUUGAUUUAAGUUUGUGUCCAGAAUACAUGGUUGCUUUACUGAAGAUGUAUCACAUAUGCUACAUAUUACUGUGUCCAGUACAGUUUUCCUGUAGCAAAGCUUGUUAGGCAAUUCCAAAAAUUGACUUCCAAUACAGGAUUUAUUUUGUCUUUUCUUGAGGUCAGUGCAUAUUGCACACUUCUAUGUAGUGUCUCCGACAAAGGUGUGGAAACAUGCAUUGACCAUUUUCUGGACAUAAUAUUCCUGUCAGAUGCUUCAUAUACAGAAUAUGCUUCAUGCUGAGAUGAUUUUUCAUACAGGUGCACGCUUAAAAAUUCAGAGUUGUUACAUGCUUGAACCAUCCAGGGCAUCGAAGUUCAGUCAAACCAUCAAGGUACCAAAAUGAAUCUUCUGCUAUCAUUUUUGUUAUUCCUAAACCUGUAGUUACGGAGAUCCAUGAGUUUCAUAGAACAUAUAAACACUGGUGGGCAACCCGCCGUUCUGGGGGCCUUCCCGCGCGCACGAUCGCUAGCCGUUCGAUCAGCUUCUUCGAUCGUUUUUCACCCUCGAUUUUUACUAUUCACUUCUAUCUUUUGUUACAACUUUGACUGCUUUACCGGGUGGCUGCCAUUGGGCCCAUAAAAUCAUUGGUCCACGCAGCAGCGGAGUGCUCGUCAACUCGGUCUGUGACAAGCAGCAGCAGCAGCAUCAUGGUCUACCCCCUUCCACCCUCUCUCAAUUUCCUCUCUUCGCUUCCCUGACCACGUCUCAUCUCUGUUGGGUCAAGGUUGGGUUGGAGCUACAGCGGCCAGCCACCAGGACGACGCUGACGGCCAAAGAAAGCUCCUUCCCCACCGCUGACAGCCAAAACCGCUCUUGUGCUUAUCAAGGUUAGUCAAUGUAUAGGACUGCGCUUUUGUGUGUCCUUUUCUUCAAGCUGUCAUUCAAGAGAAGAGAGGAGCAAGGCCUUGAUCCAGACUCGGGAGGAGGAGGAGACAAGGAGCAACACCUAUUUUUAUUGUCCGUCAAGCCCCAUUAUACUUUGCGGUUCCAGCCACCUAGUCACUAACUUGAAUGAGUAAGUAGACCAUUAUAUAUGAUGGUCUUGCUUCCUUUUGUGAUCAUGUAUCUAUGUUAGAUCCGGUGAGAAAAGGCGGCUUCCAAGCAGAGGAUGCGGCAGUGUUGGCCACGUUUGGUUUUCAUAAGCUAAUAAUGUAUCCCUUCCUGUCUACUUCCUUUGUGCACAACAUUGUAACUAAGCAUCUAUGUACCAGCAGUAAAGACUUGGGUGUCUGAAUAUUCUCACAA